rfam:Poecilia formosa, whole genome shotgun sequence.
ACAAAGGCUCUUUUCAGAGCCACACACACAUUUUCUCAAGAGCUUU